CCGCAGCUUGUAACAUCACUUGUGUUGUUGUAAGCUAUCUACGUAUGAGUGUCAGCCCAAUAUCAUUUAUUGGUUCAAGAAGAUGUACAUUUAUUUAAAUGUUUCAAAUUCUUGAAUACAUAUUUUAUGGAAAUAAAUAUAUGUCUGGCCUCAUAUGUGGAAGGUUACCCGCUGGAUUUAAGC
rnacentral:misc_RNA from 1 species